UGGGGGCUAUGGUGAUGACACAGAAAUCCUCAGGAAUGCAGCGACAUGCUAAGAAAUGACAUAUUAUUAAUCUUUUGCAUGCGUAUGGAGCGUUUCUUUCUUUCUUUCUUUUUUUAUGGUACCAGGGAUUGAACUUGGGUCCUUGCAUUUGUGAGGCAGAAGGCAGCACCAGUGAGCUCAGUCCUUGGCCCUGGCAUGUUUCUUUUAAGGGUACUUGGAAGGGGCUUUGCAGCCUUAACCUGUGCACAGGAAAGACUACGUUCCAGGAGAAACUCAGGCACUCGCAAGAAUACGUCACUGGUGGUGACCAAAAAACCAAAGACCGCCUCUCUGGGCUGUGACCACACAUGCACCAGUAGAGACAGCAGCGUAUCAUUAACUGCUGGCUCCGUCUCCAUCUGCGUCAGGACAAUAUGACCUUUGUGCUCACUGUUUGUUGUUUCCAGCCCACUCCGGCACAUUGCCUCAACUUGCCUGCUCAGCAGCCUGGAAGGCGAGGCGAGAACUCUCCUGGCCCCUAGGAUGAGGAGAGGGCACUAUGCAUUCCCAGGAGGACUUAGACCUUGAACCUGGAUUUCCCAACACAUUUUUUCCCUCUUUUAGCUCAUCUGCCCUUCUUUUGACAGCUACCAGGCCACACUGCUCACCCUACUCCACCGAGACUUGCCGAGGAAAAAAUUGACCUUUCUCAGGGUGUGCUCUGCAGGACAUUUUGGGUUUUAAAAACAUGAACUACUACUUUUCAAUCAUUAAAUUCUCCACGCCCAU
rnacentral:lncRNA from 1 species